rnacentral:rRNA from 1 species
CAUGCAAGUCGAGCGAACUGAUUAGAAGCUUGCUUCUAUGACGUUAGCGGCGGACGGGUGAGUAACACGUGGGCAACCUGCCUGUAAGACUGGGAUAACUUCGGGAAACCGAAGCUAAUACCGGAUAGGAUCUUCUCCUUCAUGGGAGAUGAUUGAAAGAUGGUUUCGGCUAUCACUUACAGAUGGGCCCGCGGUGCAUUAGCUAGUUGGUGAGGUAACGGCUCACCAAGGCAACGAUGCAUAGCCGACCUGAGAGGGUGAUCGGCCACACUGGGACUGAGACACGGCCCAGACUCCUACGGGAGGCAGCAGUAGGGAAUCUUCCGCAAUGGACGAAAGUCUGACGGAGCAACGCCGCGUGAGUGAUGAAGGCUUUCGGGUCGUAAAACUCUGUUGUUAGGGAAGAACAAGUAUGAGAGUAACUGCUCGUACCUUGACGGUACCUAACCAGAAAGCCACGGCUAACUACGUGCCAGCAGCCGCGGUAAUACGUAGGUGGCAAGCGUUAUCCGGAAUUAUUGGGCGUAAAGCGCGCGCAGGCGGUUUCUUAAGUCUGAUGUGAAAGCCCACGGCUCAACCGUGGAGGGUCAUUGGAAACUGGGGAACUUGAGUGCAGAAGAGAAAAGCGGAAUUCCACGUGUAGCGGUGAAAUGCGUAGAGAUGUGGAGGAACACCAGUGGCGAAGGCGGCUUUUUGGUCUGU